AAAGGUAAGCUACUAAGAGCGAAUGGUGGAUGCCUUGACUGGUAAAGGCGAUGAAGGACGUACUAGACUGCGAUAAGCUACGGGGAGCUGUCAAGAAGCUUUGAUCCGUAGAUUUCCGAAUGGGGCAACCCAAUGUAUAGAGAUAUACAUUACCUAUAUAGGAGCGAACGAGGGGAAUUGAAACAUCUUAGUACCCUCAGGAAAAGAAAUCAAUAGAGAUUGCGUCAGUAGCGGCGAGCGAAAGCGCAAGAGGGCAAACCCAGUGCUUGCACUGGGGGUUGUAGGACUGCAAUGUGCAAGAGGUAAGUUUAGCAGAACAUUCUGGAAAGUAUAGCCAUAGAGGGUGAUAGUCCCGUAUGCGAAAAACAAAGCUUAGCUAGCAGUAUCCUGAGUAGGGCGGGACACGAGGAAUCCUGUCUGAAUCCGGGUCGACCACGAUCCAACCCUAAAUACUAAUACCAGAUCGAUAGUGCACAAGUACCGUGAGGGAAAGGUGAAAAGAACUGAGGUGAUCAGAGUGAAAUAGAACCUGAAACCAUUUGCUUACAAUCAUUCAGAGCACUAUGUAGCAAUACAG
rnacentral:rRNA from 1 species